rnacentral:rRNA from 1 species
CCUACGGGGGGCAGCAGUGGGGAAUAUUGCACAAUGGGGGCAACCCUGAUGCAGCGAUGCCGCGUGUGUGAAGAAGUAUCUCGGUACGUAAAGCUCUAUCAGCAGGGAAGAAAAUGACGGUACCUGAAUAAGAAGCCACGGCUAACUACGUGCCAGCAGCCGCGGUAAUACGUAGGGGGCAAGCGUUAUCCGGAUUUACUGGGUGUAAAGUGAGCGUAGACGGCUGGACAAGUCUGGAGUGAAAUCCCGGGGCUUAACCCCGGAACUGCUGGGGAUACUGUGCGGCUGGAGUGCAGGAGGGGUGAGGGGAAUUCAUGGUGUAGCGGUGAAAUGCGUAGAUAUGUGGAGGAACACCGGUGGCGAAGGCGGCUUACUGGACUAUAACUGACGUUGAGGCUCGAAAGCGUGGGGAGCAAACAGGAUUAGAUACCCUUGUAGUC